rnacentral:rRNA from 1 species
GAUGAACGCUAGCGGCAGGCCUAACACAUGCAAGUCGAGGGGUAACUAGAGUGAUAGCAAUAUUACUUUGGCUAGACCGGCGCACGGGUGCGUAACACGUAUGCAACCUACCUUAUACUGGGGAAUAACUUCGAGAAAUCGGCGCUAAUACCCCAUAACAUUGCGAAGAGGCAUCUCUUUGCAAUUAAAGCUACGGCGGUAUAAGAUGGGCAUGCGUCCAAUUAGCUAGUUGGUGAGGUAACGGCUAACCAAGGCUACGAUUGGUAGGGGUUCUGAGAGGAUGAUCCCCCACACUGGUACUGAGACACGGACCAGACUCCUACGGGAGGCAGCAGUGAGGAAUAUUGCGCAAUGGACGAAAGUCUGACGCAGCCAUGCCGCGUGCAGGAUGACGGCCCUAUGGGUUGUAAACUGCUUUUGUACGGGAAUAAACCCUUCUACGUGUAGGAGGCUGAAGGUACCGUAAGAAUAAGCACCGGCUAACUCCGUGCCAGCAGCCGCCGUAAAAC